ACUCCCCUCUGUGUCAAUGACUUUUGGAUGCCUCCAUUUUUGUAGUUGCUUCUCAUGUCUGCUCUGUAUUUCAGAUCAUUUCCAGAGAAGAUGAUGACAUUGGAAGGAGACGAUUACCCACCUCUGGUCCUGACCCUUCACUCAAGCCCCAGGGCCGCCUCAAACAAUCCAUGGCCAUGGCACCUCCAACCUCUCCUUUGCAUCACUGUCAGAGCUGUCCAGUCACCGUAGGAGGCUUUAUGCUUUUGCCAGAGGUACAUCAUUCCCCAGGAUGGUGCCAGGCCUGCCUUUGGGACCAACCUCUGCUUUGAAUUCUCUACGUGGCAAGUCUUCCUCCUUUUGGAAACAACUAGAAGUUACCAAGGAUGAUGAGCAAGUUGGACAAUCAAAUUAGGUGAUCAUAUUACGUUUUUUUCCCCCAAAGAAGACAUGACUGUGAAGAAGUAAGAUUGAUCUUUCUCUGCAGUUUAUUCAAUGAUUAUUGUACAUUGGUGAUUUCUUUAAACAAAUCAUACAAUAAUGAUACUAGAUGCCAGUCCCUGAGUGCUUACAAUGUGCCUUGUAGUCUGCAAUAUUCAUCUCAUGGAAUCAUAAGAAUUAUCUGACCUAUCACCAUAUACAAAAAUGAACUCAAAAUCAUCAACUUCCUAAAUGUAAGAGCCAAAAUCGGCCGGGCGCGGUGGCUCACGCCUGUAAUCCCAGCACUUUGGGAGGCUGAGGUGGGUGGAUCACGAGGUCAGGAGAUCGAGACCAUCCUGGCUAACACGGUGAAACCCCGUCUCUACUGAAAAUACAAAAAAUUAGCCGGGCAUGGUGGCAGGCGCCUGUAGUCCCAGCUACUAGGGAGGCUGAGGCAGGAGAAUGGUGUGAACCCGGGAGGUAGAGCUUGCAAUGAGCAGAGAUCGCGCCACUGCACCCCAGCCUGGGCGACAGAGCAAGACUCCGUCUCAAAAAAAAAAAAAAAAAAAAAGAGCUAAAAUCAUAAAAUUCUUAGAAGAAAACAUCAGUGUAGAUCUUUUUGACCUUGGAUUAGGUAAUAAUUUCUUAGAUAUGACACUCAAAGCAUAAGCAAU
rnacentral:lncRNA from 1 species